rnacentral:lncRNA from 1 species
UGGUGAAAGUCUAAUUCUACUUUUUGCUCUUUUGAGGGGAUACAUAUCGUUCUUGCUCUUUUGAAACUUUUUGAGGAGAAUGAGAUGCUCUACAUUUUCUUUUUAUUUCCUCUCAGGUGGGUAUCCUGUACCCUAAUUCUACUGUUGGACACUUGUCCUUUUUACCUCUCGUCUCACUUUUUCUUUUCUUUUGAGGUUCCAGGCACUUGCCUCUUUUUAUUUCCUCGUAUCCUUUCUCUUUUUUUAGAGCACUCAUCUCCUGAAAUAAUAUAGCAAGUGGUAGUAACCAAGAUAACUCGAGCAUUUAUUUCACAUGGAAAAACAGAAAUAGGAGAAUGUUUUUGGCUAUUCUCUCUCGGAUUAGUAGU